UUUAUUCCUAUUCAAUAAAGAGAGAAUCUCGAUAUUCUUUACACAAAUUUUCGAUCCCCUUUUUCAACUAAAGGAACUUUUAUUCAUGUAAGGAGUCACAAAAGUAACUUCCCAUGAGUCUGCAACACAGACAAACAGACAACACAAUAUCACAAUAACAAACAUAAACAGAUAACACCAAAACACCAUAAAAUAACAUAAUAUGUGAGCAUCUCAGGCAAAGCAAACCAGCACAAGACAGCAAAAUGGAUAGGUGUUGACACUUAGGAUCUCAUUCUUCCUCGGACUCAGAUUCAGCACUCUGUAACCAUUCGACAAAGGGUUUGACAUUCUUCCAAAAUUUGGAGUCUUUGUUCCCAGCAGCACCCUUGCCGUACCACUGUACUAUAUAUUCCUCCUCCAACACAUCAGCAUCAUAUAAAGCUUUCAAAACCAGAGCCGCUUCCUUCAGUGCAACUGGGUAUUUCCCAGAAAAUUCUUCUAUAGCGCGAAGCAAUCGUAGCUGUGAGUCCUCGUCUUGAGCAACAGCAGCAAGGUAAACUUCCUUCAGUGCAACUGGGUAUUUCCCACAAAAUUCUUCUAUAGCGCGAAGCAAUCGUAGCUCUGACUCCUCGUCUUGGGCAACAGCAGCAAGGUAACUUUUCUUUUUAAGAACCUCCUUGGCAAAUCCUUUUUCGACGCCAUCCAACAGUGCCUCGUACAAAGCAGUGACAACUUCCUGAGGAGACCCGGAGAGUGAACCCAAACAGGAUCGCAAUUGGCUGGCAGCAACUC
rnacentral:lncRNA from 1 species